GAUGAAGAACGUAGCGAAAUGCGAUAAGUAGUGUGAAUUGCAGAAUUCAGUGAAUCAUCGAAUCUUUGAACGCACAUUGCGCCCUUUGGUAUUCCAAAGGGCAUGCCUGUUCGAGCGUCAUUUGUACCCUCAAGCUUUGCUUGGUGUUGGGCGUCUUGUCUCUAGCUUUGCUGGAGACUCGCCUUAAAGUAAUUGGCAGCCGGCCUACUGGUUUCGGAGCGCAGCACAAGUCGCACUCUCUAUCAGCAAAGGUCUAGCAUCCAUUAAGCCUUUUUUUCAACUUUUGACCUCGGAUCAGGUAGGGAUACCCGCUGAACUUAAGCAUAUCAUAAGCGGAGGA
rnacentral:misc_RNA from 1 species